UAUAAAAUUAGUUCGGAAAUCCCAAAGUCUAAACACCUAUUCGCCUAACGUCAAUAUGAAAAGUUUAUCGCUUAUUUUAGGAGUUGUUGUGCUCGGUCUAUUUUAUGGCCAAAGUGAAGCUUUUGACUUUGGAACAGGGUAUCCACCAACAUUCGAUUAUGAUUAACGCUAAUGUCUGUGCGGUAUUUCAAGGUUUUAUGGCUCGAUUUCGAAGAUUUGAAGAUAAAAAUAAUUUGAAGUUUUAAAUAAUAAAUUAACAACAAAUAAAUGUUUUUUUUCUUUUCGGUUCAGAAA